rnacentral:lncRNA from 1 species
AAAUUUCAUUUUCCCAUUUCAGGAGGCUAGUCUGUAAUAUUCAAUAAUGGAUUUAAGAUGAGAGAAUACUGGCUUAUUGAUGUAUAAAAUCACAUCGUCACUGGAGUUCCUGUCUUCCUUCUAUUCUGUAAUUGAUUCUGUAAGUUAUCAGGCAUUCUUUUUAACUUAAUCCAAGCCCCAUUUUGGAAAAAGUUACAACUUGUGUUGCAAGAUGAUCCACAGAUCUUAGAUGAAGAUGGUAGACAACACUCACAAUAUGAAAGAGGAGCUGAUCCCUGAGUCACAACUUGAAGAAGAAGCAAAUUACCAUGUCCUGGACUGCCCAAGGCAUAGGCAUUGACAAGUUUCUGAGGGUGGCCUGUACAAGUUGGGAGCAGUCCCUGACCUACAAUCAGCAAGAAGUUGAAGACUUUUAGUCUCUACAGCCUCAAGGUACAGAUUUCUGCCGACUCCAGUAAGUAUGGAAGAGCCUGAACCUA